rnacentral:rRNA from 1 species
AUUGAACGCUGGCGGCAUGCCUUACACAUGCAAGUCGAACGGUAACAGGUCUUCGGAUGCUGACGAGUGGCGAACGGGUGAGUAAUACAUCGGAACGUGCCCGAUCGUGGGGGAUAACGAGGCGAAAGCUUUGCUAAUACCGCAUACGAUCUACGGAUGAAAGCGGGGGAUCUUCGGACCUCGCGCGGACGGAGCGGCCGAUGGCAGAUUAGGUAGUUGGUGGGAUAAAAGCUUACCAAGCCGACGAUCUGUAGCUGGUCUGAGAGGAUGAUCAGCCACACUGGGACUGAGACACGGCCCAGACUCCUACGGGAGGCAGCAGUGGGGAAUUUUGGACAAUGGGCGAAAGCCUGAUCCAGCCAUGCCGCGUGCAGGAUGAAGGCCUUUGGGUUGUAAACUGCUUUUGUACGGAACGAAAAGCCUCUUUCUAAUAAAGAGGGGUCAUGACGGCACCGUAAGAAUAAGCACCGGCUAACUACGU